rnacentral:rRNA from 1 species
UAUUAAAGUUGUUGCAGUUAAAAAGCUCGUAGUUGGAUUUCUGGCUUGACGCGUCUGACCCGCCACAGUUAUGUGUGUGAGUGUCGGUGCUCGUCUGCCAUCCUUCUGGAAAACGUGUCUACCCUUCAUUGGGCCGGAUGCGCGAUCCAGAUCUUUUACUUUGAAGAAAUUAGAGUGUUCAAAGCAGGCUUGCGCUAUGAAUACAUUAGCAUGGAAUAAUAAUCUAGGACUCCGGUUCUAUUUUGUUGGUUUCUAGGACUGAAGUAAUGAUUGAUAGGGAUAGUUGGGGGUGCUAGUAUUCAGCGGCCAGAGGUGAAAUUCUCGGAUUCGCUGAAGACUAACUUAUGCGAAAGCAUUCACCAAGGAUGUCUUCUUUAAUCAAGAACGAAAGUUGGGGGAUCGAAGACGAUCAGAUACCGUCGUAGUCUCAACCAUAAACUAUACCGACUAAGGAUGGGUGAACGUUGUAUUUUCGACUUCAUCCGCACUUUAUGAGAAAUCAAAGUCUUUGGGUUCCGGGGGGAGUAUGGUCGCAAGGCUGAAACUU